rnacentral:tRNA from 1 species
GCGCCGCGGUAGCCGCCGGGCAGGGCGCGGCCUUCACCGCCGCCGUGCCCGCGAUCAUCGACGGCGCGCGCGAGGUCGUGUCACACCGCCGCGCG